UAUAUCCUACGGGAGGCAGCAGUGAGGAAUAUUGGUCAAUGGGCGCAAGCCUGAACCAGCCACGUCGCGUGAGGGAUGACGGUCCUAUGGAUUGUAAACCUCUUUUGUCGGGGAGCAAGGCCCGCCACGUGUGGCGGGAAGGAGAGUACCCGAAGAAAAAGCAUCGGCUAACUCCGUGCCAGCAGCCGCGGUAAUACGGAGGAUGCGAGCGUUAUCCGGAUUUAUUUGGUUUAAAGGGUGCGUAGGCGGAAGGUUAAGCCAGCGGUCAAAGCCCGGGGCUCAACCCCGGCCCGCCGUUGAAACUC
rnacentral:rRNA from 1 species